GUAGAGUUCGUGGGUCCAUGCAAA
rnacentral:siRNA from 1 species